AACAACAAAGAACUUCAGCUAGUGCUGAGAUCCUACACUUUUCCUAGCUUGCCCGGACCAGCCAUCCUGCUGCCUCUUCCCACACGCUGCUCUGUCAUGGCGCUCUCUCAGACCUGAAUGCAGAGAGAUUUCAAGCAUUAUUUUUGACUGCUCCUUAACCACUGAAUGUUCAGUUGGUGAAACUGAAGGCCUUUCACUCCGAAAAAAUAAAAAGAAGAACCUGAGCGUCAC
rnacentral:lncRNA from 1 species